rnacentral:rRNA from 1 species
GUGAUUUACUCAUGGAGCUGAAGUCAGUCGAAGAUACCAGCUGGCUGCAACUGUUUAUUAAAAACACAGCACUGUGCAAACACGAAAGUGGACGUAUACGGUGUGACGCCUGCCCGGUGCCGGAAGGUUAAUUGAUGGGGUCAGCGCAAGCGAAGCUCCUGAUCGAAGCCCCGGUAAACGGCGGCCGUAACUAUAACGGUCCUAAGGUAGCGAAAUUCCUUGUCGGGUAAGUUCCGACCUGCACGAAUGGCGUAAUGAUGGCCAGGCUGUCUCCACCCGAGACUCAGUGAAAUUGAACUCGCUGUGAAGAUGCAGUGUACCCGCGGCAAGACGGAAAGACCCCGUGAACCUUUACUAUAGCUUGACACUGAACAUUGAGCCUUGAUGUGUAGGAUAGGUGGGAGGCUUUGAAGUGUGGACGCCAGUCUGCAUGGAGCCGGCCUUGAAAUACCACCCUUUAAUGUUUGAUGUUCUAACGUGGACCCGUGAUCCGGGUUGCGGACAGUGUCUGGUGGGUAGUUUGACUGGGGCGGUCUCCUCCUAAAGAGUAACGGAGGAGCACGAAGGUUGGCUAAUCCUGGUCGGACAUCAGGAGGUUAGUGCAAUGGCAUAAGCCAGCUUGACUGCGAGCGUGACGGCGCGAGCAGGUGCGAAAGCAGGUCAUAGUGAUCCGGUGGUUCUGAAUGGAAGGGCCAUCGCUCAACGGAUAAAAGGUACUCCGGGGAUAACAGGCUGAUACCGCCCAAGAGUUCAUAUCGACGGCGGUGUUUGGCACCUCGAUGUCGGCUCAUCACAUCCUGGGGCUGAAGUAGGUCCCAAGGGUAUGGCUGUUCGCCAUUUAAAGUGGUACGCGAGCUGGGUUUAGAACGUCGUGAGACAGUUCGGUCCCUAUCUGCCGUGGGCGCUGGAGAACUGAGGGGGGCUGCUCCUAGUACGAGAGGACCGGAGUGGACGCAUCACUGGUGUUCGGGUUGUCAUGCCAAUGGCACUGCCCGGUAGCUAAAUGCGGAAGAGAUAAGUGCUGAAAGCAUCUAAGCACGAAACUUGCCCCGAGAUGAGUUCUCCCUGAGACUUUAGGUCUCCUGAAGGAACGUUGAAGACGACGACGUUGAUAGGCCGGGUGUGUAAGCGCAGCGAUGCGUUGAGCUAACCGGUACUAAUGAACCGUGAGGCUUAACCUU